UUGAAGGAACUUACUCAUUAAAUAAUCAAUCAUAACUAACUCUGAUUUUUGGCGGCAAAUUUUGAAAUUUCUCUCUCAAUAUAACAGGAUCAAUUGAAAUCAAGAAAACCACAGAAGAAAUAAGAAAAAGAAAAUCAAGAAAACCACAGGAAAAAAGAAAAAGAAAAGAAUGUCUCACAAAGAAAACAAGAAUGUCAUUGAGUUCCUUGAUGAACAAGCUUUCUAUUAUGACGAGGAAGAUGAGCAGUGGUUUAAGGAAAAAGAUGAUCAGUGGGCAAAGAACAUACCAUGCUACAAAGAAGACGCAGCAAAAGUAGUCUUGAAUUCAAUCGACUUCGAUUUUGACAUGCAAGAUUUAGAUGAGUUCUUGAAGGUUCUUGACACUGAAGAUUCUUCCCCUGAGAGAGUUCCUGAUCGUGUUGUUCCUGUUACUCCUCCUAUUUCUAGACGGAUUCAGGUUCCUUCCCCUCCGAGAGUUCAUGCUCCUGCACCUCAGAGGGUUUAUACUUUUGCCAAUUUGGUUUCUGCUACAUCUGCCCCUAUAGCUCGGGUUCCUGCGUCUCAGGAGUCACCGGAGGAGACAUUCAAUGACAUUGCAUCUAGUCAAGUCCAUGCGCCGAUCAGCCACCAACACCACUUGCUUCCUCAGAAUAUGAAGUCUAAUCGCGUCAUGUUAGCAGGUGACUCAUCUCGAUCGGUUCCUUGCAAGAAAUACACACAUUGGACUAGAGAAGAACACAUUUCGUUUCUCCUUGAGCUUGAGAAUGUUGGAAAGAAAAGUUGGACAUAUAUUUCACAGAAAAUUGUUCCAUCAAAAAAUCUAUUUCAAAUUGCAAGUCAUGUUCAAAAAUACUUCAAACGCAAGAAUAUCCCAAAGAAAAAAAGAAAAAGGAAAAACAUUCAUGAUAUAAACUUGAUAAUAAAUCUAUUAUUUAGUCGCACUUAAAUUCAUCAUUCCUCUCUAAAAGAAUAUUUGAGAUCAAACUCAAAUUCUUUCUUACAAAUUCAGAUCUUAUUAGGUGGCUUCUUCAUGUUCAUGGUUACUAGCUUGUCCCUCGCGAUUGGCGCUUCAUGUGUUAGCUUAGCUCACACCAUGCCUACGUUAAGACUUGUCUAUUACAUGCCCUAUUAAAUCGGGUAAGCACUAAGCAUGAUGGGAUGGCUUCUUUUUAGAACAAUAAAAAUUGUCUUUAUCAAGACUUUUAGGCGUACAUAAUAUACGCGACAUUAAUUGAAUUCUAAGUCUCUGUUGAGACAUCCAAGCUCUCACAUUAAAAUAGGGUGUUAAUAACUGAUUCAAUUUAAUGCAAACCGUGCAAUCGAAUUGAAAUUUUGAUAAAUGAAUACUUAUUUUUUAAUCAAAUGGAACUACGUUGUAUAUUUAUGAUUAUUUAUUAACUACUUAUAUCAUCACACUUUAUAAAUAACAGUAAUUACAGCUUACAAGCGUUAUUUAUACCGACAAAAAGCUAACAUCAAAUUAUUUUAAUUACAGUUAUAUUAAAUUAAAUGUUACUUUGGCUAUGAAUUCCCUAGCUAGUUUAAAAAACCCUUUGAUAAGGACAUAAUUGAACCUAAUAAUCUUUAAGGCAUUAGCUAAAGGAGACAAAAAUAAAGAAGAUCAAUGGAAAAUGAAAACAACAAAACUAACAUGUUUUUAGAUAAAUUGAAAAAUAAAAAUAAAAAUUAGAUAAUGGAAGUGUAAAACAAAAUAUUUCUGCAAACUAGACACCACCUUAGUAGGUUGAAAAUUUGUUAACUCGAAAAAGACCAUCACAAAUUAUAGACCAAAUCUCUUAAAAAAAAAGAUAUAGACUAAAUAAGCUAUUUCGGAAGAUCAAAUUUCUUUUUUCUCUUUUAACUUACUUUGCAAAUAGAGUAACAUUAAUUAUUAACAUAUAAUAUUCAUAUUAAUUAAAAUAUCAAGGAAUGCUAGCCGCACAUUCAGGAUUGUUAGAAACUUAGAAUUCAUACAGGUUGCAUUAGUUUAAAAAAUGAAACCACCAAAUGUGAAAUGAAAUACUUAGAAUAUGUUUGUUUCACAGAUUAAUAACUCAUUUUUAGUGAUAUGAAAUUAAGAAUAUAGUAUUCUCAUGUUUAUUAUGAGUUCUAAAAAAAUAUUCACAAGUAUUGUUCAUUCCCAAAAAAAAGUAGUAAUAUCAUAAUUUAUUUCAUAUUUAUUCUCAGGAGGGAUUAUAUUCCCUCGAAAAUAUGGAAAGUUGUUUUUACUCCAAUUUUAACUAUCAUCUCAAUUUUUUAUAUUUUAAAAAAAUAUUUCUGAAAAAUGUUUGAAUUUUACCAAAUAUAUUUUUAAUUAAUGUUCAUAGGAAUAACAUUUUUGUUUAUCAUAUUUCUAGAAAUAUAAUUUAUAGAAAUGCAAUAUCAUAACUUGAAAUAAAACGUCCUCUUAUAUUUAGUGGGAUACACAUGAUUGAAUUUCACCCAAUAAAAAAAUAAAGUGUUGAUAAUAUUCCUCUAAAACAUCCAUUUCAUAUUAUAUUUUAAUAUUAUUACCCCCACAAAUCAAUAUAUGGUGUUUUAUAUUUAAUAUAUUUAUAACUUGGAAAAUUUUCUCAUACAGUCUAUUUUUAUUUAUUUUGUGACAUCAAGGUUUGGUUUGAUAUGAAAAAAUAAUUAAAAGGAAUAAAGAUUAAAAAAUCAUAAAAAUAAUACUCCAAUGAAAAAAUGAAAAAUAGGUUAAGUUAGUAUUUUGGUCCUCUAAUUUAUUAUUUAGUUUUAAUUUGAUCAAAUGAUCAAAUUGAACCUAAAUAAUAAAUUAGAGGACCAAAAUACUAAUUUAACCUAAAAAAGUAAAAAGUUGUUUCAAUGAGCUUGUACAUAUUGAAAGAAUGGAAUAAUUACGAUUUUAUUCAUAUUUAAUUUAAUUAUAAGUGUACAAGAAAUAUAUAUAGAGUACAAAGGAUUAACAAACUCAAAAUUAUCUACUAAAUUAUCUAUAACUUUAAUUUAAAUAUUUAUAAUUUUAAUUUAAAUUGUAACAACUCUAACUAAUUAUUUUAUUAUAUCAAUAGUAUAACACGCCCAUGCAAGAUGGUGAUGGCAAAAACAAUGUCAAUUUUACUCAUCAUAAAUUUGUGACGUGCAAAUGUAAGAUCUUUGGGGAGAAAGUCCACACGCCAAUCAAAGCCCAUAAAUGCAAAGCAAAAGUUAUAACACAAAGUUUAACUUCUUAAGAGAAGCAAAUACACUUAAUCACCAUAAGGUAGAAACAAAAAGACUUGAUCAUCUAAAAGGGCAAAAGUAAGAAAAAAACAUAAAAUGGCUUAACCACCUAAAAUGACAAAAAAAAAAAAAAUUGGUUUAACCACUUAUAAGGCAGAAGCAAGACAAAUGAAAAAUAGCUUAACCACUUGAAAGGCAGAAAAAAAAAAUGACUUAACCACCUAAAAAGAUAAAAACAAAAAAAUUUAACUAUUAUGAAUGAUUUCAGAUGAAAGACAUAAUAUGAUUAUCUUUAUAUAACCACCAAUAAGUUAUAACUUUAAGGAGAUGAAUCAUUUGAUAAUUUGACAGUAAUUAUAUUUAAUGAUCAGAUUGAAAGCAAUGGUAGGUAAUUAUGAGGAAACACACAAAAAAAAAAUCAAUUUAACUAUUAAACUCCUAACUCUUUGAUAACAAAUUGAAAGAAUAACAAAUAUAUAUAUAUAUAUAUAUAUAUAUAUAUAUAUAUAUAUAUAUAUAUAUAUAUAUAUAUAUAUAUAUAUAUAUAUAUAUAUAUAUAUAUAUAUAUAUAUAUAUAUAUAUAUAUAUAUAUAUAUAUAUAUAUAUAUAUAUAUAUAUAUAUAUAUAUAUUUAUAUAAAGUACGAGAAUAACAAACUCAAAAUAUUAUAAUAAUUUACAAUUAAUUACUCUAUCAUAUUAAUAAUCUAACAGUCCAAUUCAUUACUAUAAGCAUAACUGGUUCGAAUUCAGUCAAUUUUUAGUAAGGCUGGACUAAAUUAAAUUAAGAUAAAACAUAAUUUUAGAGAACCUAACUAAGAUUAUUCAUUAAGCUAUUAAUUUGGGCCAUCUCGUCACGCUGGACUUGGAUACCUUGGACUCAGAUCUUUAGUGCAGAAGAGCAAACCCUCUGACACUGAGGUAGGUCUUCCUUCUUAACUCAAUCUAACAACACCUACAAAACUACAAUAAAGAAAUUACCUGUAUACCAAUCCACAUCAUGUGUGUUCACUUUUGCAAAUAGAUGCGAAGCAGGGCAAACCAAUAGCGUUUUUUUCUUCUUUUUUCCUCUCAUCUUAUGAAUGGUAAUAAAGCCAUGCAUACGAUGUUUAGGAGUAGAGAAA
rnacentral:lncRNA from 1 species